AGCUCGCAUGGCCCAGCGGUAAGGCGCAUCACUCGUAUGCAAUGAUGAGAUCCCCGGUUCAAUCCCGGGUGUGAGCAUCUCUC
rnacentral:tRNA from 1 species